GAUGAACGCUAGCGGCAGGCCUAAUACAUGCAAGACGAACGGUAAGUUGAGUAGCAAUACUUAGCCAAGAGUGUCGUACGGGUGCGUAACACGUAUGCAACCUACCCUAUACAGGAGGAUAGCCUAGGGAAACCUGGAUUAACCCUUCAUAGUAUUAUUGGAUGGCAUCAUUUGAUAAUUAAAACUGAGGUGGUAUAGGAUGGGCAUGCGUCUGAUUAGUUAGUUGGCGGGGUAAUGGCCCACCAAGACGAUGAUCAGUAGGGGUUCUGAGAGGAAGAUCCCCCACACUGGCACUGAGAUACGGGCCAGACUCCUACGGGAGGCAGCAGUAGGGAAUAUUGGUCAAUGGAUGCAAGUCUGAACCAGCCAUGCCGCGUGCAGGAAGAAGGCCUUUCUGGGGUUGUAAAACUGCUUUUUGCCAGGGGGAUAAAAUUUCCAUGCGUGGAAAACUGAAGGUACCUGGUGAAUAAGCCACGGCUAACUACGUGCCAGCAGCCGCGGUAAU
rnacentral:rRNA from 1 species